AGCGAACGCUGGCGGUAGGCCUAACACAUGCAAGUCGAACGGCAGCACAGGAGAGCUUGCUCUCUGGGUGGCGAGUGGCGGACGGGUGAGGAAUACAUCGGAAUCUACUUUUUCGUGGGGGAUAACGUAGGGAAACUUACGCUAAUACCGCAUACGACCUACGGGUGAAAGCAGGGGAUCUUCGGACCUUGCGCGAUUGAAUGAGCCGAUGUCGGAUUAGCUAGUUGGCGGGGUAAAGGCCCACCAAGGCGACGAUCCGUAGCUGGUCUGAGAGGAUGAUCAGCCACACUGGAACUGAGACACGGUCCAGACUCCUACGGGAGGCGGCAGUGGGGAAUAUUGGACAAUGGGCGCAAGCCUGAUCCAGCCAUACCGCGUGGGUGAAGAAGGCCUUCGGGUUGUAAAGCCCUUUUGUUGGGAAAGAAAUCCAGCUGGCUAAUACCCGGUUGGGAUGACGGUACCCAAAGAAUAAGCACCGGCUAACUUCGUGCCAGCAGCCGCAGUAAAAC
rnacentral:rRNA from 1 species